UACGUAGGCAGCGAGCGUUGUUCGGAGUUACUGGGCGUAAAGGGUGUGUAGGCGGUUGUUUAAGUUUGGUGUGAAAUCUCCCGGCUCAACUGGGAGGGUGCGCCGAAUACUGAAUGACUUGGAGUGCGGGAGAGGUGAGUGGAAUUCCUGGUGUAGCGGUGAAAUGCGUAGAUAUCAGGAGGAACACCGGUGGUGUAGACGGCUCACUGGACCGUAACUGACGCUGAGACACGAAAGCGUGGGUAGCAAA
rnacentral:rRNA from 1 species